ensembl:ncRNA lncRNA:CR45482 long non-coding RNA:CR45482
CAACAAUAUCCUCCGGCCUGAAGGAUGGCCAACAAAAGGCAUUGAUAUCUUGGAGGGCACAUCUCACUUCGCCCGGGGCGUUCCUCAAUUUUUCGGCCCUCAAAGACGAAAAUGAGCUCAGGCUGUGGAGACGAUGCUCCCAACCAUUAACCCCUUUCCAUCGUAGUCCAUCGUAGUUGGCACUUGAGCGGAUAAAGGACUUUCCAAUGAUACUUUGAAAUCAAACACGACGAUGGGCGAUGUUCGGGGCGAUAAGGCGAGGAUAAGAACGAAAACCAAAAGCCAGGAGUAAAUCAGUAAAUGAGCAGCAACGGCGACCCAUUUGACACACGGCUGGAAAUUAAAAAGCCGUCGAGAGGAUGUCUCUUUUGAAGUUCCCAGGCGUAAUUGUCACGGCCCGUUGCCAUGGACAACGCAGACAGUUCCGGAGACGACCAACCCGUAGUUGGAGAUGCCACGCGGAUGAGGUUUAAUGAGCAAACUAGAACACCUCGUUGGCGACUUUAUUAAUCAAGUAAGUACACUUACUUGCAGCGACUUGUUUGCUUCGUUUGAUUAAAGUAAAGUAAAUUAUUGUUUUUGAUAUAAUCAAAUAUUACUUCUUGGUUGCAUAAGUUGACCAAUUAAUGUAAUUCGUUCGGUCUUGCAUAGAUUUUAAAGAAGUGCUUAAAGAACUAGAACUAGUGGUUAGAAGAACUUAAUGUCCUCACUUUGAUGCUUUAAAUACCUUAGACACAUCUGCAUAUCAGCUCCAUUACUCCAUUACUCCUCGCCAGGAUAUCGGAUGUUGGAGGCGAGUGCGUGUGCUCGGGUUAAAGCUAAAUGGCCCGUGGAACACGGCAGACGAUGGAUGGGUGGUUGGAUGGAUAGCUGGAUGGCUGGAUGGAUGGGUUGCGUUGGGUUCUUGGCUCUCGGUUCGAAUGGGCUUGCUUCCUCUAAUGCAAUUGAUGUUCGGCGGAAAAAUGGGGGAGUGACUGAGGCAUUGAGGCGGCAACCUAAUAAAAGGAACGAAAACAACUUGUUUUCCAAUUUUACAAUUUAACAAGUUGCCAUUAGACGACGUCGCCCGGCGCAAGUCGUUAGUCCUUGCUCCUUGGUCCUCCGCCAUUCGCAAUCCUUUUGCCUGAGCCGCCAAAACCAAACCAUCAGCAACAACAACAACAACAACAGCAACGAAGGCCAAAGAAUUCCAAAGAAAAUCGACUGCUAUUGGAUUCCAGGCUCCCAGGCUCAAAGGCUUACCGGAACAGAGAAAUAAAAUAAAAUCAAACCAAAAGGCGGCAGAAACAGAACCAGAACGACGAAUAAAGAACCCAAAAAUACAAAAAAAAAAAGAGAAAAAAAAAAAUUAAAUAAAAGAACACCAGAGCCCAAAAUUUUUCUCGGGCAGAGCGUACAAAUUUUUCGAAUUGUUCGCUGGAGACUAAUAAAAUCAACGACGUGGAACUUCAAGCCGUUCCCAUGGACCGGCCCAGAAAAAAUGGGGAGUAGGGCAAAAGCCAGAGACAAUGAGUCGUCGUUCGGCGGCACCGGCGACGUCUCACAUGCAGCUCCCACAACCGGAACAAGUCGCCAGGAUAUGGUUGACUUUACCAACGCAGAUAUACCC